CUCGCCCUUCUUCUUUUUUUCUCGUUCUACUGCUCCAUCUUCAUCUCCUCCAUGAAACAAAUCUGAAAAACCUCUCCUUCCAAAAACUCCCUCUUCUAAAAUCGAAAAAUAUCCAUUGAUUUCCUUUCUAUGUCUCCUAUAACCCAACCCCCUUUCUCCAUAUUCUUUAUCUCCUCCACAAAAUCUAAAUUCACUAACAAAUCCAAAUUCAACAGUUUCUUUCUCAACAUCAAAACGAAAAACCCUAGCUUGAAUUGUAUUCAUCAUCAUUAAAUAAAACCCCUUACUUCAUCUUCUCACUAUCUCUUAAAAAACCCAAAAUUUCCCAAUUUCAAAACCCUAAUAGUCCUUCACUUCACUAGAUCUAUUCGAGGUCGAGUGUCAGUGUUUGCAGAUGAAAGAAAAGAUGUUUAUGAUGCCAAUUUUCUUCUUUAUGAGAUAUUGUAAUAGACAGUAAAGGCAAUCAAGAAGUUUGGGGUUUAGGGUGUUGAGUUUUAGAGUUUUUUUUUAAUUGUUGAUUUUUUUUAAUUGUAUGUGGUUUUAGCCCUUUAAAUUGAUUGUUGUACGUGUGAAAUAGGAUUUGAUAUGAAUCUUGAUAAUGGAAUUUUUGGUGUUUGAUGUUUGCAGGGAUUUCUCUUGAGGAUAAGAAGAGUAGUUUAUGAUUGGAAGUCUAAUGGAAAAGGCUUCGUCGCAACUGUAAUUGUAUUUUAGACCAAGGAAUUGGGAAAGUUUGCGUGUGCCAAAGUGGCCUGAGCACACCCAAAGUUGUUUAUGUGUUAGUGACGAAACCCUUCGUGAAAGUGCUCAAGCUUGUCCCAAUCUUCAUUUUCUCAAUGCAUCCUAUUGUCACAACAUCUCUCUUGAGUCUGUAAGAAUGCCAAUGUUGACCGUUCUGAAGCUUGUCAAUUGCGGGGUAUAACUUUGGCUUCGACGAUACUAUAGUGUUUAAUUCUUUGGGUAAAAGUUCUAGAAAGUUCGGGCACAGAAGUUGUGAUUUUCUGGUUCUGCAGAAAUUCGUGUUGCAAAAGCGGGAAACCAAGAAGACUGGUGUUGAAAUGCAAUUAUUUUCCAAAAGCUGACCUUACUGAUUGCGAAGCUCAUGUCAUCGUCCCUCGACUACUGCGAGGUUGGUAUUGGGUAUCUAAAUUUCGGUGUAUACCCUAAAUAGAGGCACUUGACACACACAUCUGAUGGUGCUGCUAGAAUUGAAGGGAUGUGGUGUUCUAUCUGAAGCAUCCAUUCGUUGUACCCAUUUAAUAACUCUACAUUCUUCUUUUCGUGGACAUGAUUUUGAUGUCCUGCUGAACUAUUGGUCAUGAUGGGCGCUCCUCUAUGUUGGCUAUCACAUUUGACGUUCCUUGGUUUAUCAUAUACUCUCUCAUUGAACUUGCAACCUGUUUUUGAUUCCUGCUUGCAAUUGAUGGUAGCUUUCAACGUUGAUCUCUUCUCCGUGCCUUUAGUAAACGAAAGCAUAGAUGGGGAAGUCUUGGCUUUAACUUCGUGUUUAAGCUUUGUGGUAGUUAAGCUUGUAAUAUAAAUAUAAAUGUUAGCAUUUGAAGUUGUCGGAUUUGCAACUUCAGUAUUUUUGAUGGUUAAAGUUGUAAACUGUUAGCAGUUUUUAAUAUACAUUCAGUUUUAAA